AACGAACGCUGGCGGCAGGCUUAACACAUGCAAGCCGAGCGCCCCGCAAGGGGAGUGGCAGACGGGUGAGUAACGCGUGGGAAUCUACCCAUCUCUACGGAAUAACGCAUGGAAACGUGUGCUAAUACCGUAUACGUCCUUCGGGAGAAAGAUUUAUCGGAGAUGGAUGAGCCCGCGUUGGAUUAGCUAGUUGGUGAGGUAAAGGCCUACCAAGGCGACGAUCCAUAGCUGGUCUGAGAGGAUGAUCAGCCACACUGGGACUGAGACACGGCCCAGACUCCUACGGGAGGCAGCAGUGGGGAAUAUUGGACAAUGGGCGCAAGCCUGAUCCAGCCAUGCCGCGUGAGUGAUGAAGGCCCUAGGGUUGUAAAGCUCUUUCACCGGUGAAAAUAAUGACGGUAACCGGAGAAGAAGCCCCGGCUAACUUCGUGCCAGCCGCCGCCGUAAAAC
rnacentral:rRNA from 1 species